GUGGGUGGGGCUCGCGAUUUGAGUCGGGACUAGCGGAUUCGCCGGAGGCUCUGGUCUCCCAGCAAGAGGACAAAUGUGCCGGGAUGUAUGCAGGCAAGCCAGAAGAGGAGAGUCCAGGACCAGUAAAUCAGGUCAGUAAAUGCACUAUUCUGUCAGGGGCCAAGUUACCACUGAAGAGGUAAGACAAGUGAUGGUUGAGGAUCAUAAAUGUGAUUCAAGGACAGCAGAAAUUACCAAGAAGAAAGGGAAAUGUCUGUCAGAUGUGGCACCAAUCUCUUAGUUUCCCCUUAGUAAUACUCCACUGAGAGUAGUUAGAGAAGCUAGUGGGCCAUUGAGAUGGCAGGGUGCCAGCAGCAUUUGGACCCACAGCUUCUGCAACAUUCAAUGCCAGGGCCUGCAGCUGUGGUGGGUGCAGCAGCCUCAGAGGAUGUGAAGUAGACCUCCCCAGAAGUAUCUAUCCUUUUCAGAGAACACCAGCAGAUUAACAGUCACUUUGGACAUUGGAAGCUGCAGCAAACACCUCAAUAUAAUAAGUUGACACAGGAGCAAAGGGAAUGAAUGGUCCAACCCAUGGAGCAGUCAGGGAAGCUGGUCAGGGAAAAGGCAGGGGAGACACCCCUAAGGGGUCCCCAGGCUAUCUGUGAGGAAUUAAAGGGGUCUGGACUUCCCGUACUGUUGUUAGAAACUAAGGAAAAAUACUACUAAUAAGAUAAAUGUCUGUGGUUGUCUUACAUCUUAGCUGGGUAUGUAGGAAUUUAGGUUAUAUGAAAAUUAUUUAGAAUUAAGCUUUCUUUCUUUCUUUCUUUUUUUCUUUUUCUUUCCUUUUUCUCCUGGUCACCCAUGGCAUAUAGAGUUCCCAGGUCAAGGGUAGGAUCUGACCUAUGCCACAGCUGCGGCAAUGCCAGAUCCUUUAACUCACUUGCCAGGCUGGGGAUUGAACCAUCCUAUUGUGCCACAGCAGGAACUCUAGAAGUAAGUUUUCUUAAGGAGUCACAAAACUUUUCUUUUUUGUUUUUUAGGGCUGCACCUGUGGCAUAUAGAGGUUCCCGGGCUAGGGGUUGAAUCAGAUCUGCAGCUGUUGGCCUACACCACAGCUGUAGCAAUGUGGAAUCAGAGCCACAUCUGUGACCUACGCCAUAGCUCAAGGCAACAUUGGAUCCUUAACCCACUGAGCGAGGCCAGGGAUUGAAUCUGCAUCCUCAUGGAUACUAGUAAGAUUCAUUUCUGCUGAGCCAUGAUGGGAAUUCCAACACAGGAUUAUUCCAACUCCCUCUCUUUCCCUCAGGGUUUGCUGACUUUACCUAUAAUGUCUUCUCAUGUUGCCUCACCCUAAAAGAAUUAGGACUAUCUAAGGCAGCAUUUAACUGGAAACCCAACUAAGGUUUGUGAGGCUGAACAAAUAAAGUUUUAUUUAAAUUUUUUUUUUAAUUUUGAUUUUUCUUUUUUCUUUAAAUUUUGUUCUGAGGUAUUUAUUUUUGAAUAUGCAAAAAUUUUAUUUAUUUAAAUAAUUUUUAUUUUUUCCAUUAUAGUUGGUUUACAGUGCUGAGUAAUCACUUUUCUACUGUACAGCAAAGUGACCCAGUCACACAUGCAUAUAUACAUUCAUUUUCUCACAUUACCCUCCAUUAUUCUCCAUCACAAGUGACUAGAUAUAGUUCCCAGUGCUACACAGCAGGAUCUCAUAGCUAAUCCAUUCUGAAUGCAAUACUUUAUAUCUAUUAACCCCAGAUUCCCAGUCCAUCCCACUCCCUCCCCCUUCCCCUUGGUAAUCACAAGUCUGUUCUCCAAGUCCAUGAGAUUAUUUUCUGUGGAAAGGUUAUUUGUGCCAUAUAUUAGAUUCCAGAUGUGUGAUAUCAUAUGGUAUUUGUCUUUCUCUUUCUGACUUCACUUAGUAUGAGAGUCUAUAGUUGUAUCCAUGUUGCUGCAAAUGGCAUUAUUUUGUUCUUUUUUAUGGCUGUGAGGUAUUCCAUUGUGUAUAUAUACCAUAUCUUCUUAAUCAAUUCAUCUUGUCAGUGGACAUUGAGGUUGUUUCCAUGUCUUGGCUAUUAUGGAUGGUGCUGCAAUGAACAUAUGGGUGCAUGUGUCUAUUUCAAGGAAAGUUUUGUCUGGAUAUAUGCCCAUUAUAGUUGAUUUGCCAUAAUCCAUCAAUUUCUACUGUACAGCAAAGGUUUAUUUCUUACUUAACAGUAAAUCUGGAAUUGUCAUUCUUCUGACCUGGUUUCAAGAGCUCAGUGAAGAGAAACACAAUUGUAGAAAUCAAGUCUGUUUUUGAGACAGGAAGAAGGUAGAAAUGAGAAGGUGGGCCAAGGACUCAGCAGGAGGAUUUUAUGUUAUAUCAAGAAACAAAAGCUCCAGAAGGCUUCCAGUUAUGUUUCCUUGGCC
rnacentral:lncRNA from 1 species